GUGCUUCCUUUGGCAGCACAUAUUAUAAAAUUGGAAUUAUACAGAAAAAAUUAGCAUGGCCUCUAUGCUAUGACAUGCAAAUACAUAAAGUGUUCAUAUUUUUG
ensembl:snRNA U6 U6 spliceosomal RNA